rnacentral:rRNA from 1 species
UACGUAGGGCGCAAGCGUUAUCCGGAAUUAUUGGGCGUAAAGAGCUCGUAGGCGGUUUGUCGCGUCUGCUGUGAAAGACCGGGGCUCAACUCCGGUUCUGCAGUGGGUACGGGCAGACUAGAGUGAUGUAGGGGAGACUGGAAUUCCUGGUGUAGCGGUGAAAUGCGCAGAUAUCAGGAGGAACACCGGUGGCGAAGGCGGGUCUCUGGGCCGAUACUGACGCUGAGGAGCGAAAGCGUGGGGAGCAAACAGG